CUAGUUCGCCUCCACGUGGGUGCACCCUGGGUAACGCUAAAUGAACUAGCAAAUAUUUUCAGUCAGACAAUCCUAGGAUCUGCUGUCCAUAAGAUCAAUUUCACAAAGUUCCACUUUUCUUUAAGAGAUAUGAUGCUAUCAAGCAAGGCAAACAGUCUUUCUCUUUAUUGUUUUUCUUCUAAUUUUAUUUCUUAAUCUCUUCUUUAUGUAUUAUUUCUUAUUUGCUGUAAUUCUUCUAAGACUUCCAAGUCUUUGAUUUCAUUUCUGUUGAUGCCAACAUGCGAUUGUAUAGUUUUCGAUUCAUGAAUGGGAUAUUGUACUGCUUUGGAACAAGGAUUUUUGGACAAGGACAGCUGCACUUCAAUUCAAGAAGCCUCAUCAAGAUGCCAUUAGAUUGAUUAUAUCCAACAUUCAAUUGGAUCAACAUUCAAUAGGAUGAAAUUCAUCACUGAAGAGGAAUAGAAUAAUUUUAGACAUUAAUAAUAGCACAUAUGAGCAUACAUUCUUCAUGCAUCCUUUCACAGAAGAGGAGGUAGGAGUGAUCUCAGAGAAGGUAGCUAAUCUUUGACCAAGGGUUAAAUCCGAUGCAGGAAGAUAAAAAGCAUCGGGAGACAAAGAUUUAUGGCAAAUUGAGGCUUAUCUAACACAGUUCAGCCAUAUCUACAACUACGACUUUGAAACUAAACAAAUAGGCUUUAUCUUCGUGGACAGUUGAUGGUUAUGUCCUUCUUCAUCUGCAACAGUUUGAAGAAGAUGCCCAUUACAUUGAAUAAAUUCAACAUUCGACAGUGGAAUCACGAAAUUCAACAUUGAAGAGAACCUAAAUCAUUUUAGAUUUUGUACAACAAAUCGAUCGUUGUAUACAGUUCCAGGGCAGUACAUUUAUCUUUUUCAUGAAUAUUACCAACAAUGCAUAAGGACUUACAAGUAUAUCUAAUUUUUUUGGCCUUUGGCCACUUCAUUUUCUUAUUGGUAAAAUCUAAUUAGAAUUUUACAUCCUGUUGUUUUUGGUUAACUUUCAAUUUUCUAUAAUAUCCUGAGUCCCAUAUUUUCUCCAUUGUGGUAAUAAUAACAUCAUUCAUUAAUUCUUUAAAGUAUUUUAUUGCCUGUAUUUCAAUAAGUCUCUUUUAUUUGCAUUAUUUUUCUUAUGGUGUUAUUUUUCUAAUGCUUUUUUGCUUGUGUAAUUCCUUGUACAGAAUUUUAGUUUUGAUGGAUACAUUUUUAUGUCAUUUUUUUCAGAUUGUAUCCCAUGAAUUGCUAUAAUUUUACAGAUCUUGUUGGUUCCUUUUGCCUGUGUUUAAACACACAAAAUACACUUAAAACUCCCACAAUAAGAACUAUUCCCAAUCAAUUCCUGGCGCAUUCGCCAUUUAUUCAAAAAACCUGACUCGUCCUCAGACGAUGUCUCUUCUGUUUUUCCUAGCCUUUUUUCCAAUGAAUUUUUCUGAAUAAUAUCGACUCCAGAGCAUCACAGCUAGCCUCCCCGCAAAAGAGGAGACCCGGGUCGCUCCCUAACCCUGAUGUUCGGGCAUCGAUGACCUAUGUAGCAUGCAUAGGUACCCAAGGGAGUCACCACCCUCUGGUUUACGAGCUAGGUGUUCUAACGCUAGAGGCUUCGGCCGGAUACGACCUGGCAUCCAAGCUCCGAGACUUCUUCGUGCACGUAUUCCGUGACCCUCGAAGAGGCAGGGGGCGGGAUAUCGGACACAUUGAAGAUGAUGAGGGGGGUCCGCCUGUAGGGGGUCCCGGUGGAUGUCCGCUCGAUGGGUGACGAGGGCGACCCGAGACGAGGCUGCUUAGCUGGGAUGGGAACUGACUGGUGAGGCUUAAUCGUGGACAAGGGUUAAAUCGGAUGAGGGGGGGCGAACUUGAUGCUCUGGAGGAUUUUUCUUUAUGUGCUUGAUGUUAAAUUUUGACUAGAUAUUUCUGAGAGGAGGCUAAGCAUAAUUUGUUGUCAUUUUUCCAGUUCGUAUUGACCACAUUCCUCUUUUUUUAAUAUCAUCUAAAAAUUUUUGACCAAUCUUGCUUUUGGCCUACCUCUAUUUCACUAUUUUUGUCUGCCAUAUUUUCUUUAUUACUAGAAUAUUAUCAUUCAUCAAUUCUAUAAACUCUCUCUAUAAAAAACGUUGCUAAGAGCAUUGAUUGCUAAGAGGAUAUUCUUACAUUUCUAUUACCUGAUAGAAUUCUAUCUUAUGUUUUAUCCAUUUUCGUGAAUUUUCGUCGUCUUUUUUGUAUACAAUUGUAUAUUUUUCUCUCUCAUUCUUCUUUGACUUUUAUCAGUCAUUUUCAUGCAAUCGUUUUUAAUUUAUUAUACCUUAAUUUUUUAUUUGUCUCCCAUAUUAUCUACAUUCUUGAAGGAUUCUAGUAAAUCUAUUAAUUUAUGUAUUUCUGAGUUAUCAGUCAUCAUUCACUUGUAUCGUUUUUAAUUAUUUUUGUAUUGUGUAAUUCUAUGUCCAGGCUUCCCUAAGGCAUUUUAUUUCUUGAAAGCUGAGAGGUGUAAUUUUAGAAUCACUUUUCUUGGCUUUUUUCAAUUCAUCAUAUCAUGCACAGUAAAACUUUACUGUUUCUUGUAUUUUUAAAUUACUUGUUUUUAUUUAUGUUAUUGUUUAUAGUAUUGCUAUUCGUUUAAGACUCUCAAGUCUUUGAUUGUAUUUCUAUUGAUGCCUACAUAUAAUAGUUGAAUAGUUUUAUACAAAUUUUGUUUAUUUUCCAAUUGAUUUUUUUUAUUCUGCUUCUGAUUCAUUUUAAAAUUGAAUUUUUGAAUAGGAUAUUGUACUGCUUUGGAACAAAGAUUUUUCGGACAAGGACAGCUGCACUUCAGUUGAACCCCCUCUUCAAGAUGUCAUUUGGUUGAUUAAAUUCAACAUUCAGCAGUGAAUUUCAGGAUAUAAUUCAUCAUUGAAGAGACAGGAAUAUAGUUUUAGAACCAAGACUUUCCAGAAGGGUAGCCAGAAGAUUUAUUUACCACAACAUAGACAUCAGCAUGUCCAUCAACUCCUUGGAUUUUAAUAUACUUUUUAUGUUACUCUAAUAUACUCUAAUUACUC
rnacentral:lncRNA from 1 species